AACGCACUGGAAAGAGAUUAAUCAGCACGUGAAACAAGUUAAAUGGGAAGAGUUUGUGACCAGACUUGCGUCCGGUGAAUCGCCCAGCUCUGGCGGCUGGCGCAUUUUGCCGGCUCAGGCCAGCAUCAGCUUGCCGUCGGGGACAUAAGCUUCGGGAUCGUAGCUCUCAUCGGGGAGGUUGUGUUAUAGCCGCAUAAUACGCUUCGGUGGGCGCUCCGCAAGGAUGCUCGCGUAAUGCUCAUCAGCGACCCGU
rnacentral:rRNA from 1 species